rnacentral:rRNA from 1 species
AUUGAACGCUGGCGGCAGGCCUAACACAUGCAAGUCGAGCGAGCGGCGGACGGGUGAGUAAUGUCUGGGAAACUGCCUGAUGGAGGGGGAUAACUACUGGAAACGGUAGCUAAUACCGCAUACCCUCGGAUGUGCCCAGUUGGGAUUAGCUAGUAGGUGGGGUAACGGCUCACCUAGGCGCCGAUCCCUAACGGGUCUGGCAGGAUGUCCAGCCACACUGGAACUGAGACACGGGCCAGACUCCUCCGGGAGGAAGCAGUGGGGAAUAUUGCACAAGGGGCGCAAGCCUGAUGCAGCCAGGCCGCGUGUGUGAAGAAGGCCUUCGGGUUGUAAAGCACUUUCAGCGGGGAGGCGUUACCCGCAGAAGAAGCACCGGCUAACUCCGUGCCAGCAGCCGCGGUAAUUC